rnacentral:rRNA from 1 species
AUUGAACGCUGGCGGCAGGCCUAACACAUGCAAGUCGAGCGGAUGACGGGAGCUUGCUCCUUGAUUCAGCGGCGGACGGGUGAGUAAUGCCUAGGAAUCUGCCUGGUAGUGGGGGACAACGUUUCGAAAGGAACGCUAAUACCGCAUACGUCAUACGGGAGAAAGCAGGGGGUCUUCGGACCUUGCGCUAAUAGAUGAGCCUAAGUCGGAUUAGCUAGUUGGUGGGGUAAAGGCUCACCAAGGCGACGAUCCGUAACUGGUCUGAGAGGAUGAUCAGUCACACUGGAACUGAGACACGGUCCAGACUCCUACGGGAGGCAGCAGUGGGGAAUAUUGGACAAUGGGCGAAAGCCUGAUCCAGCCAUGCCGCGUGUGUGAAGAAGGUCUUCGGAUUGUAAAGCACUUUAAGUCGGGAGGAAGGGCUGCAGGUUAAUACCUUGCAGCCUUGACGUUACCGACAGAAUAAGCACCGGCUAACUUCGUGCCAGCAGCCGCUGUAAUAC